GGCCCAGUAGCAGACGGUCCGCGCGCCCACAUCGUGUACUGGCGUCUCGUCGUAUCAGCGGGAGUCUCUGGUUCGACUCCAGGCUGGGUCA